UGGGGAAUAUUGCACAAUGGGCGCAAGCCUGAUGCAGCCAUGCCGCGUGUAUGAAGAAGGCCUUCGGGUUGUAAAGUACUUUCAGCGAGGAGGAAGGCGUUGUGGUUAAUAACCGCAACGAUUGACGUUACUCGCAGAAGAAGCACCGGCUAACUCCGUGCCAGCAGCCGCGGUAAUACGGAGGGUGCAAGCGUUAAUCGGAAUUACUGGGCGUAAAGCGCACGCAGGCGGUCUGUCAAGUCGGAUGUGAAAUCCCCGGGCUCAACCUGGGAACUGCAUCCGAAACUGGCAGGCUAGAGUCUUGUAGAGGGGGGUAGAAUUCCAGGUGUAGCGGUGAAAUGCGUAGAGAUCUGGAGGAAUACCGGUGGCGAAGGCGGCCCCCUGGACAAAGACUGACGCUCAGGUGCGAAAGCGUGGGGGGCAAACA
rnacentral:rRNA from 1 species